UGCUCACUGUGACAGCAAUAUACAAAAUUUGAAAUGAUACAGAGGAUAUUAGCAUGCUCCCUGUGCAAGGAUGAUAUGCAACAUCUAAGAAGCUUUCCAUAUUUUU